rnacentral:rRNA from 1 species
UACGUAGGGCGCGAGCGUUGUCCGGAAUUAUUGGGCGUAAAGAGCUCGUAGGCGGCCUGUUGCGUCCGCUGUGAAAUCCCGGGGCUCAACCUGGGCGUGCAGUGGAUACGGGCAGGCUGGAGGCAGGCAGGGAGAACGGAAUUCCGGUGGUAGCGGUGAAUGCGCAGAUAUCGGGAGAACACCGGUGGCGAAGGCGGUCUCUGGCCUGUGCUGACGCUGAGCGCGAAGCCA